GAGUUUGAUCCUGGCUCAGAUUGAACGCUGGCGGCAGGCCUAACACAUGCAAGUCGAGCGGUAGAGAGAAGCUUGCUUCUCUUGAGAGCGGCGGACGGGUGAGUAAUGCCUAGGAAUCUGCCUGGUAGUGGGGGAUAACGCUCGGAAACGGACGCUAAUACCGCAUACGUCCUACGGGAGAAAGCAGGGGACCUUCGGGCCUUGCGCUAUCAGAUGAGCCUAGGUCGGAUUAGCUAGUUGGUGAGGUAAUGGCUCACCAAGGCGACGAUCCGUAACUGGUCUGAGAGGAUGAUCAGUCACACUGGAACUGAGACACGGUCCAGACUCCUACGGGAGGCAGCAGUGGGGAAUAUUGGACAAUGGGCGAAAGCCUGAUCCAGCCAUGCCGCGUGUGUGAAGAAGGUCUUCGGAUUGUAAAGCACUUUAAGUUGGGAGGAAGGGCAGUAAAUUAAUACUUUGCUGUUUUGACGUUACCGACAGAAUAAAGCACCGGCUAACUCUGUGCCAGCA
rnacentral:rRNA from 1 species